AUUUUCAUUUCGGCAGCUCAUAGACUAAAUUUGGUAUGAUACAGAGAAGAUUAGCAUAGCUCCUGUCUAAAAGUUUCGCACAUUCAUGAAGCAUUCCAUAUAAGA
ensembl:snRNA U6 U6 spliceosomal RNA